AAACCAUGAUGAGGAUAACGAUGAAUUAAUUCUUUGUAUCUUUCCCAAUCCUCGUACAACAAUUCAAAAUCUUGCUGCAUGAAUGAUGUGAUAUCAUUCCUCGUUU
rnacentral:snoRNA from 1 species